rnacentral:rRNA from 1 species
AUUGAACGCUGGCGGCAGGCCUAACACAUGCAAGUCGAACGGCAGCACAGAAGAGCUUGCUCUUUGGGUGGCGAGUGGCGGACGGGUGAGUAAUGUCUGGGAAACUGCCCGAUGGAGGGGGAUAACUACUGGAAACGGUAGCUAAUACCGCAUAACGUCGCGAGACCAAAGUGGGGGACCUUCGGGCCUCACACCAUCGGAUGUGCCCAGAUGGGAUUAGCUAGUGGGUGGGGUAAUGGUUCACCUAGGCGACGAUCCCUAGCUGGUCUAAGAGGAUGGCCAGCCACACUGGAACUGAGACACGGUCCAGAAUCCUACGGGAGGCAGCAGUGGGGAAUAUUGCACAAUGGGCGCAAGCCUGAUGCAGCCACGCCGCGAGUAUGAAGAAGGCCUUCGGGUUGUAAAGUACUUUCAGCGGGGAGGAAGGCGGUGAGGUUAAUAACCUCGCCGAUUGACGUUACCCGCAGAAGAAGCACCGGCUAACUCCGUGCCAGCCGCCGCAGUAA